GAGUUUGAUCCUGGCUCAGGAUGAACGCUAGCUACAGGCUUAACACAUGCAAGUCGAGGGGCAGCAUGGAAGUUUGCUUGCAAACUUCCGAUGGCGACCGGCGCACGGGUGAGUAACACGUAUCCAACCUGCCGAUAACUCGGGGAUAGCCUUUCGAAAGAAAGAUUAAUAUCCGAUAGCAUAUCAAGGUCGCAUGAUCCUGAUAUUAAAGAAUUUCGGUUAUCGAUGGGGAUGCGUUCCAUUAGUUAGUUGGCGGGGUAACGGCCCACCAAGACGACGAUGGAUAGGGGUUCUGAGAGGAAGGUCCCCCACAUUGGAACUGAGACACGGUCCAAACUCCUACGGGAGGCAGCAGUGAGGAAUAUUGGUCAAUGGACGAGAGUCUGAACCAGCCAAGUAGCGUGAAGGAUGACUGCCCUAUGGGUUGUAAACUUCUUUUAUAUGGGAAUAAAACAGGGUAUGCAUACCCUCUUGUAUGUACCAUAUGAAUAAGGAUCGGCUAACUCCGUGCCAGCAGCCGCGGUAAUACGGAGGAUCCGAGCGUUAUCCGGAUUUAUUGGGUUUAAAGGGAGCGUAGGUGGAUUGUUAAGUCAGUUGUGAAAGUUUGCGGCUCAACCGUAAAAUUGCAGUUGAAACUGGCAGUCUUGAGUACAGUAGAGGUGGGCGGAAUUCGUGGUGUAGCGGUGAAAUGCUUAGAUAUCACGAAGAACUCCGAUUGCGAAGGCAGCUCACUAGACUGCAACUGACACUGAUGCUCGAAAGUGUGGGUAUCAAACAGGAUUAGAUACCCUGGUAGUCCACACAGUAAACGAUGAAUACUCGCUGUUUGCGAUAUACAGUAAGCGGCCAAGCGAAAGCAUUAAGUAUUCCACCUGGGGAGUACGCCGGCAACGGUGAAACUCAAAGGAAUUGACGG
rnacentral:rRNA from 1 species